UACGGAGGGUGCAAGCGUUAUCCGGAUUCACUGGGUUAAAGGGUGCGUAGGUGGGCAGGUAAGUCCGUGGUGAAAUCUCUGAGCUUAACUCAAGAAACUGCCGUGGAUACUAUUUGUCUUGAAUGUUGUGGAGGUGAGCGGAAUAUGUCAUGUAGCGGAUGAAAUGCUUAGAUAUGACAUAGAACACCAAUUGCGAAGGCAGCUCACUACACAAUUAUUGACGCUGAGGCACGAAAGCGUGGGGAUCAAACAGG
rnacentral:rRNA from 1 species